rnacentral:ncRNA from 1 species
AAGGUGCUUGUUUAAGCUUAAUAGAGGAAGAUGGGUGCGAACCCCACACAGCGAAAGCUACUGUAUAGAGGACGAAAUCACGUAUGCCACUGGGAAACUGGGAAGGUGUGAAAGUAGAAAGAUUCUGAGUCAGGAGACUUACCAAUAGAUAA